GCCCGAAUGGUGGAAUGGUAGACACGAGGGACUUAAAAUCCCUUGGUAUAACAGCCGUAUGGGUUCGAGUCCCAUUUCGGGCA
rnacentral:tRNA from 1 species